UGACCUCAGAUCAGGCAAGGCUACCCGCUGAAUUUAAGCAUAUUAAUAAGCGGAGGAAAAGAAACUAACAAGGAUUCCCCUAGUAAUGGCGAAUGAAGCGGGAACAGCUCAAAUUUAAAAUCUCCGUUGCUUGCAACGGCGAAUUGUAGUUUCGAGAAGCACUUUCUCGGCGGAUCCGAGGUCGUCCAAGUUGCUUGGAACAGCACGUCGUAGAGGGUGAAAACCCCGUCUGCGGCGACCUCGGCCGUUCACGAUGUGCUUUCGACGAGUCGGGUUGUUUGGGAAUGCAGCCCAAAAUGGGUGGUAAACUCCAUCUAAAGCUAAAUAUUGGCACGAGACCGAUAGCGAACAAGUACCGUGAGGGAAAGAUGAAAAGCACUUUGAAAAGAGAGUUAAAAAGUACGUGAAACCGUUAAAAGGGAAACGAAUGGGGUUAGCAAUGCGUCGUGCGAGAUUCAGCCGGUGGGUGGGCCAGGCGGGCGGUUGGCGGAUCUGAAUGGACCGCUGCCGUUCGGGUUGGUUUCCCGACCGUCGCACUUCUCGCAGGCGCGCGCCAACGUCGGUUAGGGCUGGGUCUCAAAGGCGGUGGAAAGGUAGGUUUGGACUCUCGGGCCCGAACUGUUACAGUCCUCCGUUUGUCAUGGCCCGGACCUGACCGAGGAGCUUGCGGUGCAUGCCGUUCGGCUAGGGUCCCGUCUUCCCGGUCGGUCGUCGAAUGCGGUGGACUGCGUGCAGUGCGCCGCGACUGCUGCCGGUCGCGAGGGCGGUGAUUUCGUACUAUGCACCCACGACGUUGGCGGUCAUAUGGCCUCAUCCGACCCGUCUUGAAAACACGACCAAGGAGUCUAACAUGUGUGCGAGUCUUUGAGUGAUCGAAACUCCGAGG
rnacentral:ncRNA from 1 species